rnacentral:rRNA from 1 species
UACGUACUGUGCGAACGUUAUUCGGAAUCACUGGGCUUAAAGGGUGCGUAGGCGGCCAAUUAAGUAGGGUGUGAAAGGUUACGGCUCAACCGUGACAUUGCGCUCUAGACUGAUUGGCUCGAGUGAGAUAGGGGUGUGCGGAACUUCCAAGUGGAGCGGUGAAAUGUGUUGAUAUUGGAAGGAACGCCGGUGGCGAAAGCGGCACACUGGGUCUUAACUGACGCUGAGGCACGAAAGCCAGGGGAGCGGAACGGG